rnacentral:tRNA from 1 species
UCCCUGGUGACUCACAUGGUAAAGAAUCUGCCUGCAAUGCAGGAGACCCAGGUUCAAUCCCUGAAUAGGGAA